GAUACAUCUUACCUUCGCCAGGCUAUUACCUCAUUUGGCUCCAUUAAAACCAUGCAAACCUCUGAGAGAGAGAAUACUUCUCCCUGGUUUCAUGGGCAGAAUUGCACCCUAAAGAACUGUGAACAG